rnacentral:rRNA from 1 species
CCUACGGGUGGCAGCAGUGGGGAAUAUUGGACAAUGGGCGAAAGCCUGAUCCAGCCAUGCCGCGUGUGUGAAGAAGGCCUUCGGGUUGUAAAGCACUUUCAGUGGGGAAGAAAGCCUUGGGGCUAAUACCCUCGAGGAAGGACAUCACCCACAGAAGAAGCACCGGCUAACUCCGUGCCAGCAGCCGCGGUAAUACGGAGGGUGCGAGCGUUAAUCGGAAUUACUGGGCGUAAAGCGCGCGUAGGCGGUCUGAUAAGCCGGUUGUGAAAGCCCCGGGCUCAACCUGGGAACGGCAUCCGGAACUGUCAGGCUAGAGUGCAGGAGAGGAAGGUAGAAUUCCCGGUGUAGCGGUGAAAUGCGUAGAGAUCGGGAGGAAUACCAGUGGCGAAGGCGGCCUUCUGGACUGACACUGACGCUGAGGUGCGAAAGCGUGGGUAGUAAACAGGAUUAGAUACCCCAGUAGUC